UACGAAGGGGGCUAGCGUUGCUCGGAAUCACUGGGCGUAAAGGGUGCGUAGGCGGGUCUUUAAGUCAGGGGUGAAAUCCUGGAGCUCAACUCCAGAACUGCCUUUGAUACUGAGGAUCUUGAGUUCGGGAGAGGUGAGUGGAACUGCGAGUGUAGAGGUGAAAUUCGUAGAUAUUCGCAAGAACACCAGUGGCGAAGGCGGCUCACUGGACCGGUACUGACGCUGAUGCGCGAAAGCGUGGGGAGCAAACAGG
rnacentral:rRNA from 1 species